AUUGAACGCUGGCGGCAGGCUUAACACAUGCAAGUCGAGCGGAGAUGAGGUGCUUGCACCUUAUCUUAGCGGCGGACGGGUGAGUAAUGCUUAGGAAUCUGCCUAUUAGUGGGGGACAACAUUCCGAAAGGAAUGCUAAUACCGCAUACGUCCUACGGGAGAAAGCAGGGGAUCUUCGGACCUUGCGCUAAUAGAUGAGCCUAAGGCGGAUUAGCUAGUUGGUGGGGUAAAGGCCGACAAAGGCGACUAUCUGUGGCGGGUCUGAUAGGAUGAUCCGCCACACUGGGACUGAGACACGGCCCAGACUCCUACGGGAGGCAGCAGUGGGGAAUAUUGGACAAUGGGGGAAACCCUGAUCCAGCCAUGCCGCGUGUGUGAAGAAGGCCUUAUGGUUGUAAAGCACUUUAAGCGAGGAGGAGGCUACUGAGACUAAUACUCUUGGAUAGUGGACAUUACUCGCAGAAUAAGCACCGGCUAACUCUGUGCCAGCCGCCGCCGUAA
rnacentral:rRNA from 1 species